CCCAGUGCUUCUGGGUAUUUUGCAGGGUGCCCAGAUGUGCUGCUAGGAUGGUGGUUCCACCCCUGCCUGCCCGUUCCCAAGGCACUUCUCACUGCCAGUGGGGUCUGUGGCACGUGUGACUCUUCCAUUUGCCAGCACUGCAAAGCAGUGCGCUGCUGUUGUUCUUAGGGCAUUUCUCUGCCCCUUUUUGCUGUCCUUGCUGUACAGCAGCGAGGCUUUGCUGGGCGCUGUCAUCCUGCUGCCUAGAGUGACAGUUCACUAGGCAAGCAGCUUCCCAGCUCCCAAAGCUCUGUGCGUUCUUUUAGCAUGCCAUCCCACGUGGCAGUCCAGCAGAGUGUGUUCCUUUCCCGGCCUGGGAACACUUCUUGUGCUGCAACCACCGUGAGGUAGGGCUGGCACCUCAGAGCUGCUUUGCUGUUUGUUGUGCCAGUUUUAGGAUUCGUUAUCCCAAAUUCCAGGUGAUGAUGUCUGCAGGCCUCGACGUUUAAGGGCCUGGCAGCCUCACAGUGCUGCCUGGGGUGGAAGAUGCCAGGUGGAGAAAGGCGAGGAGGAGAUGACAGGAGGACAACUGGUUGGUCACAGCCUUCCUGAACAUGGGACUGACAGCAGAGAUGCUACCCAGGUGUUCAGGCCUGCAGAGGACAGCAGGGUUCCCGUGGGAAGGGAUCGUCUCUUGAACGUUUGCUCUGCAUUCUUCCUUGGCAUCAGUCCUGGCCAUGAGUUUGUGUGAGAAACGGCCAUAAGUGCGUUCACCCUUCUGGCUGGCUCCGUGGCAAUGCAGUCACCAGCUCCCCGCCGACCUCGCAGCCAUGCAGCCUCGCAGAUAAGGAAACCCGUGCUGCUGCAGAGCUGGUUGUACUAGGGAAGCUGUAGCCUUUCCCUCUGCCUGCUCCCACAGUGAGUACCGCGUGCUUUUCCCUUGGCUGCGCCCUCACCAUCGCAACCAGAACCUCAGAGCCCUCAGUGCCACAUAGCUGUGUCGGAGGGGUGCUGUCUCAUGGAAAACAUUUAGGAUCAGAGCUUUCAAAUUAAAGAUAGAAAAAGGUCGGUAGCUUUCCAAGUAAUUAAUACCCUGUAGUUAUUUAAAACUGUCUUUAGAAAUGUGCCGUUCUGAACUUUCUAGGGCUGAGAACGUAUCUGGGAAUACAGUUAUGUCUUCAGCUGCAGCCUUUUCACCCUGCUUUUGUGAUUGCUCUUUUUCUGUUAGGAUCUUGUUUUGCCAGGGGGAAAAAAAAAUACAAAACGGAACGCUGCCAAGAAAUUUUGUUUUCAUACCUUGGUCCUCCCAGGCUGCCAGUUUGGCCUUCCUGUGCUGACACGUAUUGCAUUACCGGUGCUGCAGCACCAGCAGCGUUCCUGACACCUGGUUUUGGCUUCCCAUGUUUCUGGGUGAGCCGUGGAUGUGCUCAGGGAAGCCGGUCGGCCUGCAGGGCUGUGAGGCUGGAAUCAUGUCUCAGAGUUCUCGUGUGAUUGUCCACCUCGGGGAUGGGUUUUAAUGGCUGAAGCAAGCCAUGCUGAUACAGUUUUCUGCUGUUCCUUCGUAUUUCCAUCGCAGUGAGUUGAUUCCCUGGCAGACCUGCCUGGAGCUGGGGGUCAGAGCUGAGGCACGGUGCUGCCAUCCAUGUCCCUCUGUUUUUUAAUGAGCUCUGUCAGAAUUUGUUACUUAGCCAUUAAGUGGUGUCAGCGCAGAGUUCAUGCAUGAGCUAAGUUGAAAAUCUGCUAGGUGUGAAUUAGUGAUGAGAGAAAAGCAGGUCAAGGAACAUGUUGUUUCAGAGCACGCUGAGCUUCAAGCUUAGCAGAGGCGAUACUGGUGCAUCCAAGGUCUUGAGCAGGCAGAAAUAAGAACAUAGGCAGGAGAUGAGAGCAGGUGAUAAGACGUGGUAGCCCAUCCAUCGGUCCGUUGUGGUUCUGCAUGUCACCAACGAGCAGCGUGCUCUGAAGAUGUUCUGGGCCAGUCCCCAAGCCUUUGCAGACAUCAGAGGGCUCUGCUUGCAUCAGUGAGAUGGUCAUGGGUUCAGGUGCUGCUGCGAGAGACAUGUGGAUCCCCAGCAAUCCUGCACAGUGUCAGGAUGGGUUGCCCUGCAAAGGGAGGCAGGGUUUUACCUCAAGUACUGGAAAAAGACACUUCCUCCGCCUGUGAUCACUUGGCAUAGCACCACCUGGAAAUGAGGUGUGAUGGAAAAAAUAAGCCACGAAGAACAAAGCCUACAGCAAAGGCAGGAAUGUGAAUUUGCAGGCUCAGUGAAACUGCUCAGGUCUCCCCGCUGAGGCUGACUAUGUGUUCACCCUCCAGACUGCUUGGGAACGAAGGCAAAGAGAAGAACAUUGUCCCGCAAAGCCACGUGCCUCGCUUGCAGUCUGGGAGCUGAGGCACAGCUUCUGACUUUGCUCUGCAGCCCCUGUGUCCCAACCACAACCCAGGACACUGAUCAACCUGAAGCUGCUGGUUUUCUUGUGAUGGGCUCCUGUAUGCGUUCCAAAUACUGUUGAGGCUGCUCUGUGGGUAUUUUUAGUGUGAGUGCAUCAGGUGCCAACGAGGAAAACAAAAGCCUCUUCUUCAUGAGCCCACGUCUGCAGUUAUUUCCAGUGCCUGUGUCCUCGUGUGCAUCCUGCAGCCCUUGGGGCUCCGACAGCAGGCACUGAGAAAAACCAAGCUUGGGAAAAAUCUAAAUACUUCCCAAGGAAGAACUUCAGGAAAUGCCCAUCAAACAGCUGAGCAGGGGAUUCCUGAGCAGGUUUCCUGUGCUUCUUUGAAAUGCUGAUAAAAAGCUUCGUGAGAUACCUGCACAGAGGAAUUUCCCAAACAGGGCACUGAAAGCUUCACACCACAAUGUAUGCGUGAUACUGGAGCUCCCACACGUGCUGGGUGUUUGGAUAGCGUUCUUAGACCUGCUGAAACCUGCGUAAUGUAGUAAUUAUGGGCUGCUAGCUGUUGAAAGGACUCGUGAAGCUACUCCAAGGGGCAGCUGUCACCUGGGUCCUUCGGAUCCCAGCUCAUGUUUGCCUCUGCACGUCCUCAGCAUGCAAACAGGGCUGAGGGAAAGCACCCUGCCUCCUCCUGUCCCUGGGUGCAGGAAUGGCAAUGGCCGGCAGCACUGACAUCUGCCUCCUGGUGUGACCCCAAGGAUGUGACUUUGGGACAGAACCAACAUGCAGCCAGGCACCCCUGAAAUGAAGCAGGGUUAUGGGAUCCAGCUCUGGCAUUAGUGUGCAGUCCUGAACAUCUGCACCAACAUUUGUGUGCCCAGCCAUCAUUGCAGCACCUGUACCCAUCUGAGCUGGCGCUGGCUGCAGCAUGAAGCCAGGUGAAGGGGUGGGUUCUUUGGGACUGGCAAAAUAUCCCAUGUGCCUUUCAGUGUUUUCCUCUUUUUUUUUUUUUUUAAUUAUGCUUGGAGCCUCUUCUGAACAGUAAAACCUAAAAAAUAUUUGGGAAAAUAUUAAUGUGUCACUUUUGGAUCUGACAGUGUUUGUUUGUUUGCUUGUUUUUGAGGGUAGCAAUUUACAAAGUCCUGCUUUUGGGUCCUUCCUUCCCCACAUCUCUGCUGGGAACUGCCGGUGCCCCCAUCCCACCACGGGAGCCCUGGGCUGGGAACACAGCAGUGCCUGCUGCUGGGGAGGUAACACUGCGAACCAGCCUGCGCAUCUUGCAGCCUCUACAAUAUUGCCAAACCUUGUAACACAGAACCAGAUCCCUUUCCAAACCAGCCCCUUGCAGCCCUUCCUUCCUCUCCAAACUGCACCAAUCUCCAGCCAGAGCGAGCCUUGGGUCUGCCCUGCUUCACCCACCUCGUCGCUUCUGUCCCUGCCUCGCAUCUCCCCGCAGCGGUGUUCCGACGCCUCGCCUCUCUCCCGCUGGCUGAGAGCAGCGUGGAUUUCCUUCCAGCGUGACGGUUGGGGUCACUCUUUCACAACGAGCGCUUUCCUCCCGGUACGAUCAGCUCAGCGUCGCGUCCCGCUGACGCCCAACCAGGAUUUCAAGCUUUUGGGACUGCCUUCCCUGGAAAAAAUUAGCGACAUGUUUGAUUUUAAAUAGCGGAAGCGUGCGGGAAUAAGCUUUUCUGUGUGG
rnacentral:lncRNA from 1 species